rnacentral:rRNA from 1 species
UGACCUUUAGUACGGCGAGUGAAGCGGCAAAAGCUCAAAUUUGAAAUCUGGUACCUUCGGUGCCCGAGUUGUAAUUUGGAGAGGGCAACUUUGGGGCCGUUCCUUGUCUAUGUUCCUUGGAACAGGACGUCAUAGAGGGUGAGAAUCCCGUGUGGCGAGGAGUGCGGUUCUUUGUAAAGUGCCUUCGAAGAGUCGAGUUGUUUGGGAAUGCAGCUCUAAGUGGGUGGUAAAUUCCAUCUAAAGCUAAAUAUUGGCGAGAGACCGAUAGCGAACAAGUACAGUGAUGGAAAGAUGAAAAGAACUUUGAAAAGAGAGUGAAAAAGUACGUGAAAUUGUUGAAAGGGAAGGGCAUUUGAUCAGACAUGGUGUUUUGUGCCCUCUGCUCCUUGUGGGUAGGGGAAUCUCGCAUUUCACUGGGCCAGCAUCAGUUUUGGUGGCAGGAUAAAUCCAUAGGAAUGUAGCUUGCCUCGGUAAGUAUUAUAGCCUGUGGGAAUACUGCCAGCUGGGACUGAGGACUGCGACGUAAGUCAAGGAUGCUGGCAUAAUGGUUAUAUGCCGCCCGUCUUGACACCCCGAAACC